rnacentral:rRNA from 14 species
UCGGGCGACUGUAUAGCAAAUACACAGGGUUUAGUUAAAGAUGUUUAUAUUUUAGAGCUGAUAUGUGACCAGUAUUUAUAGGCUCAUCGAUGCCUCUACAAACGUUGGCCGUAACUAUAACGGUCCCAAGGUAGCAAAUUUCCUUGUCGUUUAAGUAACGACCUGCAUGAAGGAUGGAACGAUUCGAUAGCUGUCUUGCGUACAUGUGCUGGUGAAAUAUUAGGGAGUGUGAAGAUACGGUAACAACGUUAUGGGACAAAAAGACCCUGUGAAGCUUUAUAGGGAUAUAAUUUAGUACAGGUUCUAUAUUGGUAUAUCUUCAUUUCAAGGUAAAACAGUGAGAUACCAUUCAUUGAGAAUACGAUUAGCUAAUAUAACAAGCCCUUUAGUGUGGAUUCCUUCUUAUACGUGUGCUUUCCAUUAGAUCUCUAUUUAACCAUUUUAGAUACCCGUGUGAUAUUUUUUGAAACCACCACCCGUACCCUUUAGUUAAUGUUGUGAAUAAUGUUAGAUGGGCUGUUUCAUUGGGGAGAUGACCUUCUUGAAUCGAACUAAAGGUUCACUAAGCUAUUGAUGUGGGCUUUGAUAAAGGACUAGUAAGUGCAAAGAUAGAUGUGUGGCUUAAUGGUAAAGCGUUUAAUCCAGUAUUUAAAUGGUGUCUUAGUGACCUUCAAAUGAAUUUAUCAGAUAAAAGCUACUCUAAGGAUAACAGGCUUCAUUUAUUGGAUAGCUCACAUUAACAAAAUGGUUUUGCACCUCGAUGUCGGCUUAUCUUUUCCAAAUGGAAAGCAAUCAAUCUGGAGUGGGAGUGCUCAUCCCAUAACAAGGUACGUGAGCUGGGUUCAGAACGAUGUAAAUCAGUUUGGUCUAUAUCUGUAACUUUAUAAAAUGGGAGUGUUGUUUGCUCAGUACGCAAGGACCGGCAA